rnacentral:rRNA from 1 species
GUGAACGCUGGCGGUAGGCCUAACACAUGCAAGUCGAACGGCAGCACAGUAAGAGCUUGCUCUUACGGGUGGCGAGUGGCGGACGGGUGAGGAAUACAUCGGAAUCUACUUUUUCGUGGGGGAUAACGUAGGGAAACUUACGCUAAUACCGCAUACGACCUACGGGUGAAAGCAGGGGAUCUUCGGACCUUGCGCGAUUGAAUGAGCCGAUGUCGGAUUAGCUAGUUGGCGGGGUAAAGGCCCACCAAGGCGACGAUCCGUAGCUGGUCUGAGAGGAUGAUCAGCCACACUGGAACUGAGCCACCGUCCAGACUCCUACGGGAGGCAGCAGUGGGGAAUAUUGGACAAUGGGCGCAAGCCUGAUCCAGCCAUACCGCGUGGGUGAAGAAGGCCUUCGGGUUGUAAAGCCCUUUUGUUGGGAAAGAAAAGCAGCAGGUUAAUACCACGCUGUUCUGACGGUACCCAAAGAAUAAGCACCGGCUAACUUCGUG